AAAUUGAAGAGUUUGAUCAUGGCUCAGGUUGAACGCUGGCGGCAGGCCUAACACAUGCAAGUCGAACGGUAACAGGAAGCAGCUUGCUGCUUCGCUGACGAGUGGCGGACGGGUGAGUAAUGUCUGGGAAACUGCCUGAUGGAGGGGGAUAACUACUGGAAACGGUGGCUAAUACCGCAUAACGUCGCAAGACCAAAGAGGGGGACCUUCGGGCCUCUUGCCAUCAGAUGUGCCCAGAUGGGAUUAGCU
rnacentral:rRNA from 1 species